rnacentral:rRNA from 1 species
UGAGUCUGCGUUUCAUUAGCUAGUUGGUGAGGUAAUGGCUCACCAAGGCAACGAUCAGUAGCAGGUUUGAGAGGAUGACCUGCCACACUGGGACUGGAACACGGCCCAGACUCCUACGGGAGGCAGCAGUGGGGAAUAUUGCGCAAUGGGCGAAAGCCUGACGCAGCGACGCCGCGUGGAGGAUGAAGGCCUUCGGGUCGUAAACUCCUGUCAAGAGGGAAGAACCGUAUGCGGAAUAAUACGCCGCAUGCCUGACGGUACCUCUAGAGGAAGCACCGGCUAACUCCGUGCCAGCAGCCGCGGUAAUACGGAGGGUGCAAGCGUUAAUCGGAAUCACUGGGCGUAAAGCGCGCGUAGGCGGCUUGGUAAGUCAGGUGUGAAAGCCCCCGGCCCAACCGGGGAAUUGCAUUGAUACUGCUAGGCUAGAGUUCAGGAGAGGGUGGCGGAAUUCCAGGUGUAGGAGUGAAAUCCGUAGAUAUCUGGAGGAACACCGGUGGCGAAGGCGGCCACCUGGACUGACACUGACGCUGAAGUGCGAAAGCGUGGGUAGCAAACAGGAUUAGAUACCCUGGUAGUCACGCCGUAAACGAUGGACACUAGGUGCCGG